rnacentral:rRNA from 1 species
GACAGAGGAUGCAAGCGUUAUCCGGAAUGAUUGGGCGUAAAGCGUCUGUAGGUGGCUUUUAAGUCCGCCGUCAAAUCCCAGGGCGUCAACCCUGGACAGGCGGUGGAAACUACCAAGCUGGAGUACGGUAGGGCAGAGGGAAUUCCGGUGGAGCGGUGAAAUGCGUAGAGAUCGGAAAGAACACCAACGGCGGAAAGCACUCUGCUGGGCCGACACUGACACUGAGAGACGAAAGCUAGGGGAGCGAAUGGG